GUGACCCGCGUGCUGGGCGCAGCUUAACCGGGACCUGUCCUUCCCAUACCCAACCGCCCUGUUGGUAGCUGAGGGAAUCCUGCCCCAGCGGCGUCUGGCCGGAGAGGGUAGGGGAAGAGGCAAGUAGGAAGUCGGCUUGCUGUAACCCUCGGGUGCGGCAUAGCGGGAGGCGUUUACCAUUCUGAGGAGCAUCCAUUUGAAAGCCCCAGUAACUGAAACCUAUUGGAGGUUAGUUCGCCACCGGAGCCUACCAAAGGUCCUUUCUUUUAUCCACCCCUCUACCUCUGUGCAGCCUCACUUAACCUCACACCUCAGGUGAGGGGGAAAUCAGAGAAGGACCAGCAGCUGGCCGGUGCUGGUAGCCUCAUUGCCAGUUUCUUCAUCCAUUUUAAAGCUACAGAUAAUCUGACACUACUCAGAAUAUCUAAGCCUUAAACAUUAACCAUCAGAAGACUUUCUCUAUUUAUUCAUUCUGAGACGUGGCACAACCAUGUCAUUUUUUCCGACGAUAUCCUGCUGUGACAUCUUCUCCUAUUGAAGUUCAUCUGUGAA